CAGCAGCCACGGGAAUACGUAGGUCCCGAGCGUUGUCCGGAUUUAUUGGGCGUAAAGCGCGCGCAGGUGGUUUAAUAAGUCUGAUGUGAAAGCCCACGGCUCAACCGUGGAGGGUCAUUGGAAACUGUUAAACUUGAGUGCGGGAGAGAAAAGUGGAAUUCCUAGUGUAGCGGUGAAAUGCGUAGAGAUUAGGAGGAACACCAGUGGCGAAGGCGGCUUUUUGGCCUGUAACUGACACUGAGGCGCGAAAGCGUGGGGAGCAAACAGGAUUAGAUACCCCUGUAGUCCCUGUCUCUUAUAA
rnacentral:rRNA from 1 species